AAGGUUUUGGUGUAGCCUGCCACGAUCAAGACCUGGGGCGUCUCAUGGGGUGCCUCUGCAGCUCGAUUGCUGGUGCGUGUCGGGAUAAGCAGUUUGGCUUUGCAGGCGUCGUAGGAUCAUGUUGAACUUGAAGAGAAGCGCUACGAUACUUUCGUUCAGUAGGUGAUCGAUGGAUUCAGGUGGAUUUCUGCGGAUGCGCGAACGCUGGCGAUCACGCAGGUGCCUGCUCACGUUUUCUGUGGAAAAGUGGACGACCCGUGCCUCAGGAGCGUGUUGCUUGAGCGAGAGUCGUCUGGUGUCGUGACGCUGCGGGGGCAGCGAGCCUAUUGCGGGCAUUUGGUUUUGCACCGGAUGCAGCGGUCCGGCUCUGGACUGAGGUCGACGAGUCGGGGCAGAUUUCAUUGGAAUGCGCGACUGGUGUCGGAAACCGUGGACGAGACCUUCGUUGAAUGUUCAUUGUGUGCGUGUUCCACAAGCCGAAGACGCGCUCGCUGAUGUGGCGUCGAAUCCUGGCGUGGAGCGCAUCGUGAAUAUCGCGUGUGUAUCGACUGCACGAGUACCAGAUGAAAAUGCAACGUUUCAGUACCUGCUCUAUUCCUGCUUUUCGAUUUUUCGGAGCGAUUUUUAGAUGCCAGCAUCGAGAUUCGAAGUGCAGCAAUGUGCACUUUUGAUUUCAUCCGUCCUUUUCGGGUGCUCAGUUGUAUGUCUGGGGGUAGCUCGGGCGACGCUUUGCCGCGAGAAUUCGCUACGCUUGCGGAACGGAGAGCAUUCGCGACGGCCUCGAACAACGGCUCGUAGCGUAACCGAUGCUAAUUCAUCAGUGCAUGUGGAGAAGCCUCCAAUCCCCUCGUUUUCCUCCAAUGGAGCGCGCUCCGAUGCUUCGAUCAUCCAGUUGCAAGCAAACUCGUGGGCGCGUCCGGAUUUACGAGCCAAUAACGCCACGUCGUCUCUUGACGAAUGGAUCGCGAGCUCAUCCCGCAUAUCCACUGAGCAGCUGACGUCAAAUAAACGAUUCUGCCCGAAACACAAUUCCUCCUCGCUUUCGGGCCAUCGACGAAUCCGCAUGGACAUCAGCAUGAUCCCGCACACGGGGUAUGCUUCCAGAGGCUCGUGUAUCGUCUGCUUCUGCAGGGAGGCGGCUGGGGCCUCAGGCAUCACGCCGGCUCGCUUUCAGCGGAGCGACCGUCACCGGUUUGCCGCAAAGGAGUGUAGGCGACCUGAGACUUGUCGGCGGCUUUUCCAGCCUGGAUUUUCCUGCAGAUGCUCAUUCCAUCAUGGAUGGCGUUGCGCGCCAUGGAGUCACCACCGAGUGGGAUAGCGCUCGCUUGCAUGCGCCGAGCACGGCUUCUUCUCCGAGGGAUCGCCCAGAUAAAGCCCGUGGUUUAAGGUUACGGCAUCGGAAGCGGAAGCAAAGGAGGAUAUUGAGGCGAGCCUUCCGGAUCCGCCAAGGGCGUGGAUGGAGCGAUGAAGCAAAUCUCGACGCGACACAGGGCAGCGCCCAGCGCGUUCGGUUUCGUAGGCUUAUGGAAACACCUGGCGAUGGUCAAUUGUCACGGCUGCGGUGGAUGCACCCCUCAGGGACGUACAAAGAAGAUGAAAAAAGUGCAGCGAAGCGUCGAUCGCGCCGACCGUCUGUCUAUGGAUUUCUUCGACAGCUGCAGAAUGCUGCGACCUAGGGAUCUUGACGCUGCAAUCAACAUCCUUCGACUACAGCCAAGGGAGCUGGAGAGAAGACAGAGACCAGUACCUUAAAAUCCGAACAAAAGCGACA